GUUGAGUGUCGGGUUGAGUGUCGGGUUGAGUGUCGGGUUGAGUGUCGGGUUGAGUGUCAGGCUGAGUGUCGGGCUGAGUGUCGGGCUGAGUGUCAGGCUGUGUGACGAGUUGUGUGUCAACUUUUCAGGCUAUUGUGACUUUUGACACAAAACAGCUUGGUCCACUUCCCCCAACAGGUUGGACGUGCUAGAAGGUCUGACAUCCUCCUCUCCGCUACUGAAAUCUCAAAAUCAGAACGAAAAUAACUUUUACCGAUCAAGAAUGCCACCACCUGUUUGAGGAAGCGAACCAACUGCUUUUCUUCCAGACUGUUUGAAAGGACAUUCUGACCACUUUCCCAACAAGUUAGACGAGUAUGAAAAUCUUCCACAAAUGUUUUCUGCCAUUCAAAUCUAAAAUCAGAAACUUCUUCCACGAAAAACAUUUAAGAGCUAAAGCCUCACAACUUUACUUUACGCACAGUUACAAUCUAGCGGUUGUUUUCCCAUCUUUUGUCCAGUUCUUGGUAAAUAUAUUGAAAGUUAAAGGGUUUCAUUUCUUUCCAGGAUCCUGGUACAGUUGACACAUUAAACUCACAGCAGGGGAAUGGUAGUUCAGACGUUUAUCAUACAAACUCAAAUGUUUUAUUUAAUACAAUAAUAAACCAGCAUUCUAAACUAAACAUGGUUCCCUGAUGUUUAUAGAUGAUCAUCCUGAAAUCGUAAUAAAUCAUAAAAAACACUAAUACUGUAGUAAUACAGUCUGUGUUGUAUACAAAAGCAAUACAUAGAAAAUACAUACAGAAAAUAUGAAAAAUACAAGCCUCCAGCUUGUAAAAAGGUGUGAAGUGAAAGUUCUUUGGGUAAAAGCUUAGAAUACACAUCAUCCUCUCAUAACACUAAUGAGCAACACAAACACAUCAUUCUCUCAUAACACUACUGAGCAACACAAAACACAUCACUCUCUCAUAACACUAAUGAGCAACACAAACACAUCAUUCUCUCAUAACACUAAUGAGCAACACAAACACAUCAUUCUCUCAUAACACUAAUGAGCAACACAAAACACAUCAUUCUCUCAUAACACUAAUGAGCAACACAAACACAUCAUUCUCUCAUAACACUAAUGAGCAACACAAAACACAUCAUUCUCUCAUAACACUAAUGAGCAACACAAACACAUCAUUCUCUCAUAACACUAAUGAGCAAUACAAACACAUCACUCUCUCAUAACACUAAUGAGCAACACAAAACACAUCAAUCAAAUGUAAUUGAUCUAAUAGUGACAUAACAUCGCCUCAGUAGACAGGACUCACUCCACAGUGUAGGACCGUAGGGAUAUAUGUUGGUGCCAGGAUGAAACAGAGAGGAGGGCCUGAGAAGAGAACAGACCUGAUUGGCAGAACAUGUAACAGUAUUUGGUAACAUUCUAACGUGUGUCCAUCGCGUCAUGUGGUCACAGUUCUUGUCAAUUAAACCCCCCCCAAAAAUUGCAUCUCUAUCUGAGAAGCUCACAGUGUCACGUCUCUAUCGAAGAAGCUCACCGUGUCACAUCUCUAUCUGAGAAGCUCACAGUGUCACGUCUCUAUCGAAGAAGCUCACCGUGUCACAUCUCUAUCUGAGAAGCUCACAAUGUCACAUCUCUAUCUGAGAAGCCCACAGUGUCACAUCUCUAUCUGAGAAGCCCACAGUGUCACAUCUCUAUCUGAGAAGCCCACAGUGUCACAGAAGGACGGACGGACAGUUCCUUUUGGCAGGAACAGUAACAUGAUUUGAGAAGCUCCGUGUUGCAGACAGACAGACAAAGACAAUCUGGUGUGACUGACAUCAUCGCUCUAAUAUCCAAAUGGUGAUGACAUUUGACUCCCAGCAUCAUAAUACGUAUUGUCAUAAAAGAUGACAUUUCAUUUAUUUAUUUAUUUAACCAGGCAAGUCAGUUAAGAACAAAUUAUUAUUUACAAUGACGGCUUAGAAGGGGAACAGUGGGUUAACUGCCUUGUUCUCGGGGGAACAGUGGGUUAAACUGCCUUGUUCUCAGGGGAACAGUGGGUUAAACUGCCUUGUUCUCAGGGGAACAGUGGGUUAAACUGCCUUGUUCAGGGGAACAGUGGGUUAACUGCCUUGUUCUCAGGGGAACAGUGGGUUAAACUGCCUUGUUCUCAGGGGAACAGUGGGUUAAACUACCUUGUUCUCAGGGGAACAGUGGGUUAAACUGCAUUGUUGUCAGGGGGCAGAACAACAGAUUUUUACCUUGUCAGCUCGGGGGAUUCCAUCUAGCAACCUUUCGGUUACCGGCCCAACCUGCCGCUCACAACUUGUCAUGAAACACAUUUAGACCUGUUGUGACACACAUUGCAUUAUUUAAUGUCUGGUUAUAACACCUACAUAAGUGUCAAAACCCACAACAGUUGUUAUUGUAUGGCUGGUUAUGACACCUACAUAAAAGUGUCAAAGCCCACAAAACCAACCACACGAGGCAAAACAUUUUAUUACACCAUGGCCACCUAACCAUUUUAAAAUUCUCAUUGUAAUUGCGUACAUUGGAUGUCAGACAUGCAGCUACCCCAAUGCUCUGUUUCUGAUGACUGGGAUGAAUGUAGGAGCAGAUUUCAGGAGCAGGACAAGACACCCUCUAUGUGACUGAUGACUGGGAUGAAUGUAGGAGCAGAUUUCAGGAGCAGGACAAGACACCGUCUAUGUGACUGAUGAC
ensembl:lncRNA